rnacentral:lncRNA from 1 species
UGCAGGGUCAGUAGGUUUCAUGCUGCCUGGACUUUCCAAAAAGGAUGUUUGCUGACGGGAUGGCUUGUUGGAGGAGGAAGAUUCUGUAGAAAUUCAGUUCCCUUGUAUGUUCCCAGCCUCUGGCAGGAGUUGGGGAUAAAAUUGAGCCCGUGGUACAAUGGGGAGACAGGUGCUAAGAAGAAAAUAAACAGAGAACGUCUUGCAGUGGGCAGCCAUUUCAGGAGGUAAAUGCCGGGGGGUGGUGUUUGAACAGUGACGGAAGGACAUGAAGAAGCGAGCGUGUGAAGGUGUGGAAGAAGUACAAUCCAUGCAGAAGAACCAGCAAGCCUUCUUUCCAUCUGGCAGUAUUAUGCAAGAUUCGGAACGAAUCUCCUCCUCCUCUCUUGCCUCUUCUCUUUUCUUUUAAAAAACCAAUUGAGAUUAUUAAAACCAAGAGGCCCCUAUCAAAGUUCUUUU